rnacentral:rRNA from 1 species
GGUAAGGAGUCGGACCUGCCCGGUGAAGAUUUUUAACGGCCGCGGUACUCUGACCGUGCAAAGGUAGCAUAAUCAUUUGCCUUAUAAUUGAAGGCUUGUAUGAAUGGUUUGACAAGAAUAUAGCUGUCUCUUUAUAAUUUAAUAGAAUUUUAUUUUUAGGUGAAAAAGCCUAGAUUUAAUUAAUAGACAAGAAGACCCUAUCGAGCUUUAGAGAAUUUAAUGGGUGGUUGGGGCGACUAAGGAACAUAAGAAGCUUCCUUUAAGAUAGUGUUGAUCCAAAAAUGUUGAUUAAAGGAAUUAGUUACCGUAGGGAUAACAGCAUUAUCUUUUUUGAGAGUUCUUAUCGAAAAAAGGGUUUGUGACCUCGAUGUUGGACCAGAAUGUCCUGAAGAUGCAGAAGUCUUCAAGGGUUGGUCUGUUCGACCAUUAAAAUUCUA